CAGCCGCCGCGGUAAUACGAAGGGUGCAAGCGUUACUCGGAAUUACUGGGCGUAAAGCGCGCGUAGGUGGUGGUUUAAGUCCGUUGUGAAAGCCCUGGGCUCAACCUGGGAAUUGCAGUGGAUACUGGGUCACUAGAGUGUGGUAGAGGAUAGUGGAAUUUCCGGUGUAGCAGUGAAAUGCGUAGAGAUCGGAAGGAACAUCUGUGGCGAAGGCGACUAUCUGGGCCAACACUGACACUGAGGCACGAAAGCGUGGGGAGCAAACAGGAUUAGAUACCCCGGUAGUCCCUGUCUCUUAUAA
rnacentral:rRNA from 1 species